rnacentral:RNase_P_RNA from 1 species
UGAGUCGCCCAGGCGGCCGCUCGCGGAGCCUUCACGGGCCGAGCGGGAGGAAAGUCCGGGCUCCACGGGUCAGGGUGGUUGCCAACGGCAACCGGUCGCGAGGCCAGGGAAAGCGCCACAGAAAACAAACCGCCGCGCGGCGCGUGAGCGUCGCACGGUAAGGGUGAAACGGUGCGGUAAGAGCGCACCGCGGGCUUGGUGACAAGUCCGGCACGGCAAGCCCCACCCGGAGAAAGACCAAAUAGGAGAGGCGUUGCCGCUGACCCGCGGCGUGCGCAAGCCAAGCCUCUCGGGUAGGUCGUUCGAGGCGGCGCGCGAGCGCCGUCCCAGAGAAAUGGUCGCCGCGCCGGAGGCGACUCCGGCGGACAGAACCCGGCUUACACGGGCGACUCAUGCC